rnacentral:rRNA from 1 species
AAGCAAGGCUGACGGUGGAGACCUAGGCACUCAGAGACGAUGAAGGGCGUGGAUACCGGCGAAACGCUUCGGGGAGCUGGAAACAAGCUUUGAUCCGAAGAUUCCCCAAUAGGGCAACCUCUUGAACUUCCUCACCAAUUCAUAGUGAGGAAAGAGAAAACCUAACGAAUUGAAACAUCUUAGUAGUUAGAGGAACAGAAAGCAAACGCGAUUCCCUCAGUAGCGGCGAGCGAACCGGGAACAGCCUAAACCGACCCCUAGGGCCGGUGUCGUGGGAGGACUCGUUUUUUCCCUUUGUCCGAACUUGUGAGGAAAAAAACGAUAUUACUGUUUACCUGUCCCUGUCUUCUAAUUUUUUGCUUUGCAAAAAAUAAAUUUCAUCAAUGUCUAAAUAUUGGAAUUUGAAAGCAGGUAAACAGGGAACAGGACAAACAGAGUCGAGACGAAGCAGCUGAAUCCUGCACCAUAGAUGGUGAAAGUCCAGUAGUCAAAACUGAAGAGAAAUGUCUGAUCCCGAGUAGCAUGGGGCACGAGAAAUCCCGUGUGAAUCUGCGAGGACCACCUCGUAAGGCUAAAUACUCCUGAGUGACCGAUAGCGAAAAAGUACCGUGAGGGAACGGUGAAACAGAACCCCUGUAGGGGAGUGAAAUAGAACACGAAACCGUCAGCUGACAAGCAGUGGGAGGGUUGUGGAACCUGACCGCGUGCCUGUUGAAGAAUGAGCCGGCGACUUAUAGGGUGUGGCUGGGUUAAGGAGAGUACUCCGGAGCCUCAGCGAAAGCGAGUCUGAAUAGGGCAUUUCAGGUCAUUCCCUAUGGACCCGAACCCGGGUGAUCUUACCAUGGCCAAGAUGAAGCUUGGGUAACACCAAGUGGAGGUCUGAACCGACCGAUGUUGAAAAAUCGGCGGAUGAGUUGUGGUAAGCGGAGAAAUUCCAAUCGAACUCGGAGCUAGCUGGAUCUCCCCGAAAUGCGUUGAGGCGCAGCGGUGACGACGAGCUGACUUGGGGUAAAGCACUGUUUCGAUACGGGCUGCGAAAGCGGUACCAAGUCGUGGCAAACUCAGAAUACAGGUCAUUGCUUUCCGUCAACCAGUGAGACAGUGGGGGAUAAGCUUCAUUGUCAAGAGGGAAACAGCCCAGACCACCAGCUAAGGCCCCAAAAUGGCCGCUAAGUGGAAAAGGAUGUGAGAAUGCUAAAACAACUAGGAGGUUUGCUUAGAAGCAGCAAAGCCUUUGAAGAAAGCGUAAUAGCUCACUAGUUUAGCGUUCUUGCGCCGACAAUGGCCGGGACUAAGCGGCCUGCCGAAGCUGUGGGAUCAAAAAUCGGUAGGGGAGCGUUCUGCUUCGGGUGAAGCUUACACGAAAGUGAUGGUGGACGAAGCGGAAGUGAGAAUGUCGGCUUGAGUAACGAAAACAUUGGUGAGAAUCCAAUGCCCCGAUAACCUAAGGGUUCCUCCGCAAGGCUCGUCCACGGGGGGUAAGUCAGGACCUAAGGCCAGGCCUUUCGGCGUAGUCGAUGGAAAACAGGUUAAUAUUCCUGUACUGAUUCUUGUGGGUCACGGGGGACGAAGCAGGCUAAGCUGGAACUGUUCAUGGAUUGCAGUGGAAGCAUUCAAGGCGUUAACAGGUAGAACAAAAAUUACUCUGGAGCUGAGAUGUGAUCCUGUUCGACGUUUAUGACGAAGCAUCGAUCUCGAUGCUUAGUUAACUCGGACACCAGCUGACGUCAAACUUCCAAGAAAAGCCCGAAAACCCCUCAAUUUUGAGGUCAAACACACGAAUCACCUGUACCUGAAACCGACACAGGUAGGUGGGUAGAGAAUACCAAGGGGCGCGAGUGAACUCUCUCUAAGGAACUCGGCAAACUGGCCCCGUAACUUCGGAAGAAGGGGCGCCCUCGUAAGAGGGUCGCAGUGACCAGGCCCAGGCGACUGUUUACCAAAAACACAGGUCUCCGCAAAGUCGUAAGACAACAUAUGGGGGCUGACGCCUGCCCAGUGCUGGAAGGUGAAGGAAGUUGGUCAUUCCUUCGGGAAAAAGCUGACGACCGAAGCCCCAGUGAACGGCGGUCGUAACUAUAACGAUCCUAAGGUAGCGAAAUUCAUUGUCAGGUAAAUUCUGACCUGCACGAAAGGCGUAACGAUCUGGGCGCUGUCUCAGGGAGAGGCUCGGUGAAAUAGACUUGUCCGUGAAGAUGCGGACUACCUGCACAUGGACAGAAAGACCCUAUGAAGCUUGACUGUAUCCUGGAAUUGGGUUCGGGCUUUUCUUGCGCAGUCUAGGUGGGAGGCUUUGAAGGUUUCCUUCCGGGGAAGCUGGAGCCGUCAUUGAGAGACCACUCUGGAAAGGCUAGAGUCCUUAUGGCGAUCCUUGAAGCAGGACGCUUGACAGUUUCAGGUGGGCAGUUUGUUUGGGGCGAACGCCUUAAAAGGUAACUGAGGCGUGCAAAGGUUCUCUCAGUCUGGACGGAAAUCAGGCAUGGAGUGCAAAGGCAGAAGGGAGCUUGACUGCAAGACCCACAAGUCGAGCAGGGGCGAAAGCCGGCCUUAGUGAUCCGACGGUUCCGCGUGGAAGGGCCGUCGCUCAACGGAUAAAAGUUACUCUAGGGAUAACAGGCUAAUCUUUUCAGAGAGUCCAUAUCGACGAAAAGGUUUGGCACCUCCGAUGUCGGCUCAUCACAACCUGGAGCGGUAGUACGUUCCAAGGGUUGGGCUGUUCGCCCAUUAAAGUGGUACGUGAGCUGGGUUCAGAACGUCGUGAGACAGUUCGGUCCAUAUCCUGUGUAGGCGCUGGAGCAUUGAGGGGAGUCUUCAUUAGUACGAGAGGACCUUAAAGAACAUACCAAUGGUCUACCAGUUCUUCUUCCAAGGGGAAACGCUGGGUAGCUACGUAUGGAGCGGAUAAGUGAUGAAAGCAUAUAAUUACGAAGCCCACCCCAAGAUGAGUGCUCCCCAUUAGGCCGCGGCAAGACAAGCCGAAGAUAGGCAUUAGGUGUAAGCCUUGCAAGGGGUUCAGCCGAGAUGUACUAAAGGCCGAUUGAUUUUGACCUU